CUACCGCUGCAAUACCUGCAUGGCUGAAAUUAUUGGAAGUCGUUUCCAUUGCCCAGUGUGUGACGAUUAUGACCUGUGUGCUAAGUGCCAUCAGGAACGCGGCCAUUAUCACCCGAUGGAGCAACAUGGUCGGCGGUGAUUAAAGCUUUGAAGCCAAUGAAGGCGUUUAUACCUUUCGUAUCUGGACAGUGUCCAUUUCUUCCGGCCAAAGCAGUUGCGUACUCAAGUGUAUUAUGAGCUGCUUAUCGCCUAUAAGGACUAUGUAGCAAAGCGAGGCUUUGUCGCUGUUAACCUUUGGGCAUGCCCUCCUGGGAAAAACCAAGACUAUAUUUUCAACUGUCAUCCACCUGGGCAAAGGAUACUCACACAACAGCUUCUAAAACCGUGGUACAAGACAAAGCUGGACAGUG